GCCCUCUUGGCCAAGUGGUAAGGCGUCGCACUCGUAAUGCGAAGAUCACUGGUUCGAUUCCAGUACGGGGCA
rfam:Fusarium oxysporum f. sp. lycopersici 4287 chromosome 9, whole genome shotgun sequence.